GACCUCGUGUUAGGGUAGAGUACCCGCCAAAUUUAAGCAUAUUAAUAAGCGGAGGAAAAGAAACCAACAGGGAUUCCCUUAGUAAGGGCGACUGAACCGGGAAAAGCCCAGCGCAUAACCUGGCGUCGUGACCCGGCGCCAGGGGUGUUGCGUUUCGGAGGGUCCGGCACGCAGUCUCUCACCGCCUAAGUUAUGCUUGAAAGCGGCCACUACCCAUGGAGGGUGACAGGCCCGUGUGGCGGAGCCCGCGAGGGUACGCGAGAGAUUGUCGGAAAGGGCCUCUCUGUAGAGUCGGGUUGCUUGAGAAUGCAGCCCUAAGCAGGUGGUAAACUCCAAUCUAAGGCUAAAUAUGACCACGAGACCGAUAGCGAA
rnacentral:rRNA from 1 species